rnacentral:rRNA from 1 species
UAAGGAAUAUUGGUCAAUGGACGCAAGUCUGAACCAGCCAUGCCGCGUGGAGGAUUAAGGCCCUCUGGGUUGUAAACUCCUUUUAUCUGGGAAGAAAUGUACUUUUUCUUGAGUACUUGACGGUACCAGAGGAAUAAGCACCGGCUAACUCCGUGCCAGCAGCCGCGGUAAUACGGAGGGUGCAAGCGUUAUCCGGAUUCACUGGGUUUAAAGGGUGCGUAGGUGGGCAGGUAAGUCAGUGGUGAAAUCUCCGGGCUUAACCCGGAAACUGCCGUUGAUACUAUUUGUCUUGAAUAUUGUGGAGGUAAGCGGAAUAUGUCAUGUAGCGGUGAAAUGCUUAGAUAUGAUAUAGAACACCAAUUGCGAAGGCAGCUUACUACACAAUCAUUGACGCUGAGGCGCGAAAGCGUGGGGAUCAAACA